GGACUUGUGGUCUAGUGGUUAUGACGUCGCCCUUACAAGGCGAAGGUCGCCGGUUCGAGCCCGGCCAGGUCCA
rfam:Methanogenic archaeon ISO4-H5 chromosome, complete genome.